GACGCCGCCGCCUUAGAACGCCUUUCCAGUACUGCUAGCAGCAGCCCGACCACGCGUUACCGCACGCUCGCGCCUUUCCCUUGACACGGCGGACGCCGGAGGAUUGGGGCGGCAAUUUGUCUUUUCCUUUUUUAUUAAAAUUAUUUUUCCUGCCUGUUGUUGGAUUUGGGGAAAUUUUUUGUUUGUUUUUUAUGAUUUGUAUUUGACUGAGAGAAACCCACUGAAGACGUCUGCGUGAGAAUAGAGACCACCGAGGCCGACUCGCGGGCCGCUGCACCCACCGCCAAGGACAAAAGGAGCCCAGCGCUACUAGCUGCACCCGAUUCCUCCCAGUGCUUAGCAUGAAGAAGGCCGAAAUGGGACGAUUCAGUAUUUCCCCGGAUGAAGACAGCAGCAGCUACAGUUCCAACAGCGACUUCAACUACUCCUACCCCACCAAGCAAGCUGCUCUGAAAAGCCAUUAUGCAGAUGUAGAUCCUGAAAACCAGAACUUUUUACUUGAAUCGAAUUUGGGGAAGAAGAAGUAUGAAACAGAAUUUGUAAGUUAAAAAUAGUAAUUUGUCUGUCAGUGGCUUUAUGGAGUAAAAGAAUAGUUUUACUUUUAGAAUUCAAAUCUAACUUGCCCAAAGCUGGUUUUCUCCAUUUAAUUAUUGUUAUAUGUUUGGUUAUCGUUUUCCCUCUAUGUAGCAUCCAGGUACUACUUCCUUUGGAAUGUCAGUAUUUAAUCUGAGCAAUGCGAUUGUGGGCAGUGGAAUCCUUGGGCUUUCUUAUGCCAUGGCUAAUACUGGAAUUGCUCUUUUUAUGUAAGUAUGUGUAAGUAGUGAGUCUGCCAUGCAGGGCAGUUACUAUGGUAAAACAUAUUUUGGCUCCAGAAACUGAAUUUACAGUUGGAGUAGCUGACUCAAAAGUUACUUGCUUAAAAUUAAAAGUAUGAGAAACCC
rnacentral:lncRNA from 1 species